CUGGCUCAGAACGACGCUGGCGGCGCGUUUAAGCAUGCAAGUCGAGCGGCAAGGGCCUUCGGGCCCCUAGAGCGGCGGACGGGUGAGUAACACGUGGACAAUCUGCCCCCCGGCCCGGGAUAGCCCAGGGAAACCUGGAUUAAUACCGGAUGAGACGGGACCCGCGAUGGCGGGACCCGGGAAAGGCGCUGCGGCGCCGCCGGGGGAUGAGUCUGCGUCCCAUUAGCUAGACGGCGGGGUAACGGCCCACCGUGGCGACGAUGGGUAGCCGGCCUGAGAGGGUGGACGGCCACAUUGGAACUGAGACACGGUCCAGACUCCUACGGGAGGCAGCAGCUAAGAAUCUUCCGCAAUGGGCGAAAGCCUGACGGAGCCGACGCCGCGUGAACGAAGAAGGCCGUGAGGUUGUAAAGUUCUUUUCGGGAGGGGGAACAACCGUGGCAGGGAAUGGCCGCGGGAUGACGUGAAUCCCGGAAUAAGCCCCGGCUAACUACGUGCCAGCCGCCGC
rnacentral:rRNA from 1 species